UAUAUACUCCCUCCGUCCGGAAAUACUUGUCAUCAAAAUAGAUAAAAGGAGAUGUAUCUAGAUGUAUUUUAGUUCUAGAUACAUCCUUUUUCAUCCAUUUUGAUGACAAGUAUUUUCGGACGGAGGGAGUAUGAU
rnacentral:pre_miRNA from 1 species